AGAGUUUGAUCCUGGCUCAGGACGAACGCUGGCGGCGUGCUUAACACAUGCAAGUCGAACGGUGAACCUCCCUUCGGGGAGGGGAUCAGUGGCGAACGGGUGAGUAACACGUGACCAACCUGCCCCUGGCUCUGGGAUAACCCCGGGAAACCGGAGCUAAUACCGGAUAUGAGUUCGCGCGGCAUCACGCGGACUGGAAAGUUUUUCGGCCAGGGAUGGGGUCGCGGCCUAUCAGCUUGUUGGUGGGGUAACGGCCCACCAAGGCGACGACGGGUAGCCGGCCUGAGAGGGCGACCGGCCACACUGGGACUGAGACACGGCCCAGACUCCUACGGGAGGCAGCAGUGGGGAAUAUUGCGCAAUGGGCGAAAGCCUGACGCAGCGACGCCGCGUGAGGGACGACGGCCUUCGGGUUGUAAACCUCUUUCAGCAGGGAAGAAGCGAAAGUGACGGUACCUGCAGAAGAAGCACCGGCUAACUACGUGCCAGCAGCCGCGGUAAUACGUAGGGUGCAAGCGUUGUCCGGAAUUAUUGGGCGUAAAGAGCUCGUAGGCGGUCUGUCGCGUCGGAUGUGAAAACCCAGGGCUCAACCCUGGGCCUGCAUUCGAUACGGGCAGACUAGAGUUCGGCAGGGGAGACUGGAAUUCCUGGUGUAGCGGUGAAAUGCGCAGAUAUCAGGAGGAACACCGGUGGCGAAGGCGGGUCUCUGGGCCGAUACUGACGCUGAGGAGCGAAAGCGUGGGGAGCGAACAGGAUUAGAUACCCUGGUAGUCCACGCCGUAAACGUUGGGCGCUAGGUGUGGGGAACCUUCCACGUUCUCCGUGCCGCAGCUAACGCAUUAAGCGCCCCGCCUGGGGAGUACGGCCGCAAGGCUAAAACUCAAAGGAAUUGACGG
rnacentral:rRNA from 1 species